GGAGCUUGCUCCCUGAUGUUAGCGGCGGACGGGUGAGUAACACGUGGGUAACCUGCCUGUAAGACUGGGAUAACUCCGGGAAACCGGGGCUAAUACCGGAUGGUUGUUUGAACCGCAUGGUUCAGACAUAAAAGGUGGCUUCGGCUACCACUUACAGAUGGACCCGCGGCGCAUUAGCUAGUUGGUGAGGUAACGGCUCACCAAGGCGACGAUGCGUAGCCGACCUGAGAGGGUGAUCGGCCACACUGGGACUGAGACACGGCCCAGACUCCUACGGGAGGCAGCAGUAGGGAAUCUUCCGCAAUGGACGAAAGUCUGACGGAGCAACGCCGCGUGAGUGAUGAAGGUUUUCGGAUCGUAAAGCUCUGUUGUUAGGGAAGAACAAGUGCCGUUCAAAUAGGGCGGCACCUUGACGGUACCUAACCAGAAAGCCACGGCUAACUACGUGCCAGCAGCCGCGGUAAUACGUAGGUGGCAAGCGUUGUCCGGAAUUAUUGGGCGUAAAGGGCUCGCAGGCGGUUUCUUAAGUCUGAUGUGAAAGCCCCCGGCUCAACCGGGGAGGGUCAUUGGAAACUGGGGAACUUGAGUGCAGAAGAGGAGAGUGGAAUUCCACGUGUAGCGGUGAAAUGCGUAGAGAUGUGGAGGAACACCAGUGGCGAAGCGACUCUCUGGUCUGUAACUGACGCUGAGGAGCGAAAGCGUGGGGAGCGAACAGGAUUAGAUACCCUGG
rnacentral:rRNA from 1 species